GUGCUCGCUUCGGCAGCACAUAUACUAAAAUUGGAACGAUACAGAGAAGAUUAGCAUGGCCCCUGCAGAAGGAUGUGACGCAAAAAUAGUGCACGAAGCAAGGUCUCU